rnacentral:rRNA from 1 species
AAGCGGCUGUGGAGUGUAUAGAAGUGAGAAUGCCGGAAUGAGUAGCGCGAAUGCAGUGAGAAUCUGCAUGGCCGAAAGCCUCAGGUUUCUGGAGGAAGGUUCGUCCGCUCCAGGUUAGUCGGGAGCUAAGGUGAGGCCGGAAGGCGUAGCCGAUGCACAGACGGUAGAGAUUCCGUCACCACCAAAAGAGUUAAGCACAGGGACACAUAUGAAGUCUCAGAGCCGGGUGUUGGUUCCGGUAGAGAUCGAGGGAAAUUAGUACCGAAGUCUGAGAUGGAAGAUGGCGAGAAAAGCUGUGUGUAUUUCUGAGGUGCCCGUACCGCAAACCGACACAGGUAGGUAGGAAGAAGAUUCUAAGGCCAACGGGAGAAGGGUUGUUAAGGAACUCGGCAAAUUGACCCCGUAACUUCGGGAGAAGGGGUGCUCCAGAGAUGGAGCCGCAGAGAAUCGGCCCAAGCAACUGUUUACCAAAAACACAGGUUUGUGCUAAAUCGAAAGAUGACGUAUACGAGCUGACGCCUGCCCGGUGCUGGAAGGUUAAGAGGAGAUGUGCAAGCAUUGAAUCGAAGCCCCAGUGAACGGCGGCCGUAACUAUAACGGUCCUAAGGUAGCGAAAUUCCUUGUCAGGUAAGUUCUGACCCGCAUGAAAGGCGUAAUGAUUUGGGCACUGUCUCAACAGCCCGCCCGGCGAAAUUGUAGUACCGGUGAAGAUGCCGGUUACCCGCGACAAGACGGAAAGACCCCAUGGAGCUUUACUGUAGCCUAAUAUUGGGUUUCGAUGUUGCAUGCACAGGAUAGAUGGGACUCUGGGAAACCAAGGCUUUGGCUUUGGCGGAGAGGCCGUUGGGAUACCAUCCUUGCGAUAUUGGAAUUCUAACCUGCGGCUCUGAAUCGAGUCGGGGGACAUUGUUAGGUGGGCAGUUUGACUGGGGCGGUCGCCUCCUAAAGAGUAACGGAGGCGUUCAAAGGUUCGCUCAGCUUGAACGGAAAUCAAGCAAAAGAGUGCAAACGCAGAAGCGAGCCUAACUGCGAGACUGACGGGUCGAGCAGUAACGAAAGUUGGAGUUAGUGAUCCGGUGGUAUGUGAGUGGAAAUGCCAUCGCUCAACGGAUAAAAGUUACCCUGGGGAUAACAGGCUGAUCUCCCCCAAGAGUCCACAUCGACGGGGAGGUUUGGCACCUCGAUGUCGGCUCAUCGCAUCCUGGGGCUGUAUUCGGUCCCAAGGGUUUGGCUGUUCGCCAAUUAAAGCGGUACGCGAGCUGGGUUCAGAACGUCGUGAGACAGUUCGGUCCCUAUCUGUCGUGGGCGCAGGAUAUUUGAUGGGAGCUGUCCCUAGUACGAGAGGACCGGGACGGACGUACCUCUGGCGCACCAGUUGUUCCGCCAGGAGCAUAGCUGGGCAACUACGUACGGAUCGGAUAAACGCUGAAAGCAUCUAAGCGUGAAGCCGACCCAAAGAUAAGAUAUCCCACUGAUUCAAUCAGGUAAGAUCCCUUGUAGACUACGAGGUUGAUAGGCACGAUGUGUAAGUGGAGUGAUCCAUUCAGCAAGUGUGUACUAAUAGAUCGAGGGCUUGACCAC